CCCUUAGAUGUCCUGGGCCGCACGCGUGCUACACUGACGCCUACAGCGAGUACUUCCCAGCCCCGAGAGGUGGCUGGUAAUCAGCAAUAGGCGUCGUGAUUGGGAUAGACCUUUGCAAUUAUGGGUCUUCAACGAGGAAUUCCUAGUAAACGCAAGUCAUCAGCUUGCAUUGAUUACGUCCCUGCCCUUUGUACACACCGCCCGUCGCACCUACCGAUUGAAUGGUCCGGUGAAAUCUCGGGACGGCGGCUUGGUCGCUUGCGUCCGACUGCUGAAACUUGAUUAAACCAUAUCAUUUAGAGGAAGGUGAAGUCGUAACA
rnacentral:rRNA from 1 species